AUUUACCCUCAACACAAGGAAGGGAUAGAUUACCAGCCUUAUCCUCUUCCUACUUUCUCUCAGCCCGUCUCCAAAUCACCGCAGGAUCCUUACGUGUACAUUCUACCAUGCACAGUCCUAAUGAUGAAAAACCAUCUUUUUUUCAGCUGUAGUGCCAGUUAUCAGAUAUGAAUGUCCACCUCUGCAUCUGCCUCUCAGAGUUCAUGAAGGGCCACAAAAAAGCUCAGAAAACAAAGAUCAACAUAGACCAACACACUGAAUCAUCAACCCACCAUGAGUCUUCUUUUGACAGUAGAUAGGUGCUCAUUUGUCCACUGAAGUCUGCCUUGCCAACCCAAUCAGUGAUACAAGUGGCAUUCACUACAAUCAGCUGAAGAAACCCUACAGGUUAAGGAGCUUCUUAACUAGACAACAAACAUAUGCUGGAGCUGAUGCCGAACUGUUCAUUCUCCUUUCAUUAAGGAGGGUAGGGAAUCCUUAGACACACCAAUAGUGCUCAGAUAAUUGGUGAUACGACCUCUGGAAAAGUUCUGGAAUUUAAUGGGCUUACAAGGUUUUACAGAGCAGAAGCACUGAUGAUGGUUCACUUAUUAACUAAGAGAGUGUCCAAACAACUAAAUAACUGGGCAUUAUCAUGCCUACUUCUGGAUGAAUACUAAUCAUCAGAACAAUCCUGAUAAUGCUGUCAUUGUGAAAGUGCUAAUCCCAUUUUGCAGAUGAAUAAACUAAGGGAGAAAGUUUAAGUGACAACAGUAAGUCAACAUCAGAGCUAGGAUUAAAAGAAUGGUAUAUUUUAGAAAAGUUAACAGAAUUAACACACACCAGUAAGGACCACAACUGGCUACCAUUUCCUCAGUUUCUCUUCUACUAGUAAUGCUCCAGAUACUAUUGGCUUUCCAAGGAUCACAGGGAUCCCACUCCACCAACAAACAUCCAGGUAUUGUUGCUCACCAACUGACUGCAAAUUACUUGUCCCACAUACUGCUUGUGAUUUCAUGUCAUCCAGAAGCCAGCCUUGGUCUGUACCUCAUUGAACACAAUACUCAAGGCAUCUUGAACAGACCAUUGCUUCUCUUUGAUGGACUACAGACAUCCUUUUCUCACCGACUUGUUAUCAAGCUACUCAGAAUCUACUCUUUCAAGCUUCUCAUUUUCAAUUAUACAACUACAAUUAAAUUAGGUGAACGCUAAUCAACAUAUUCAAACAAUUACACAUGCCAUGUAAGUUGACAGCUGGCAACUAUGCUACCUCAUGUUUUAUUGAUUGCAAUGUAGGGAUACUGGCUCCUCAGCUUGUAAUCAAAUAUUGCCUCAACAAUUCACAUCACAUGAUAUCAACUUGAUCAGAACUAAGAAGGUUUCUUACAUAUCACUGCAUUUGUUAAGCUGUAUGUUUUGUCUCCUCUAACAUGUUGUUCUGGGGACAGAGGAAUAGAAGGAAAUACUAACAGAGAUAGUUUUGCUUGAAUGAUCAAAUUACAGUCACCUCUGCCCACUGGCAAUUCUUAGUGUUACUAAUUAAUAAUGUUAUUUUACUAUUCUUACAGUUUUCCCAGAGAUCUCAGACAUCUUCACACAUACUAGCAGCCUUCUGAAGGGGUGUUAUCUUCCUUUCACAGACAUCAUAGUCAAGCACAGAAUAGUAUAGUGACCUGUGUCACAGAACAAGCCAACAGCAAACUAAAAACCCAUAUUAGGGGCCCAUUCGCUCUGUUUAACAAACCACAAGACAUGCAAGGAGUCUUGAUCUCGGACUCUAAGAGCAGCUAUACUCUAAAUGCUGGAAAGAGAGUGACUGGGGCUCCUGAAACCUAUAAAGAACAAUUUAAAUCAUCUUCUGAUUAGAUGAUUUAGUGAGACGGCAAUUCUUACCU